GGGGAAUAUUGCACAAUGGGGGAAACCCUGAUGCAGCGACGCCGCGUGGAGGAAGAAGGUCUUCGGAUUGUAAACUCCUGUUGUUGAGGAAGAUAAUGACGGUACUCAACAAGGAAGUGACGGCUAACUACGUGCCAGCAGCCGCGGUAAAACGUAGGUCACAAGCGUUGUCCGGAAUUACUGGGUGUAAAGGGAGCGCAGGCGGGAAGACAAGUUGGAAGUGAAAUCUAUGGGCUCAACCCAUAAACUGCUUUCAAAACUGUUUUUCUUGAGUAGUGCAGAGGUAGGCGGAAUUCCCGGUGUAGCGGUGGAAUGCGUAGAUAUCGGGAGGAACACCAGUGGCGAAGGCGGCCUACUGGGCACCAACUGACGCUGAGGCUCGAAAGUGUGGGUAGCAAACAGGAUUAGAUACCCUGGUAGUCCACACCGUAAACGAUGAUUACUAGGUGUUGGAGGAUUGACCCCUUCAGUGCCGCAGUUAACACAAUAAGUAAUCCACCUGGGGAGUACGACCGCAAGGUUGAAACUCAAAGGAAUUGACGGGGGCCCGCACAAGCAGUGGAGUAUGUGGUUUAAUUCGACGCAACGCGAAGAACCUUACCAAGUCUUGACAUCCCUUGACGAACAUAGAAAUAUGUUUUCUCUUCGGAGCAAGGAGACAGGUGGUGCAUGGUUGUCGUCAGCUCGUGUCGUGAGAUGUUGGGUUAAGUCCCGCAACGAGCGCAACCCUUACUGUCAGUUACUACGCAAGAGGACUCUGGCAGGACUGCCGUUGACAAAACGGAGGAAGGUGGGGAUGACGUCAAAUCAUCAUGCCCUUUAUGACUUGGGCUACACACGUACUACAAUGGCGUUAAACAAAGAGAAGCAAGACCGCGAGGUGGAGCAAAACUCAGAAACAACGUCCCAGUUCGGACUGCAGGCUGCAACUCGCCUGCACGAAGUCGGAAUUGCUAGUAAUCGUGGAUCAGCAUGCCACGGUGAAUACGUUCCCG
rnacentral:rRNA from 1 species